GGUUUUGCUAGGUGGUUGCUAAGGUGUUGCUAUGCUAUCCAGGGUGGUUGCUAAGGUGUUGCUAGGUGGUUGCUAAGGUGUUGCUAUGGUGUCUGUGGUGGUUGCUAAGGUGUUGCUAGGUGGUUGCUAAGAUGUUGCUAUGGUAUCUGGGGUGGUUGCUAAGGUGUUGCUAGGUGUAUCUGACUGGUCGCUAGGCAGUUGCUACCAUUUCUAAAGUGGUUGCUAAGCAGUUGCUAAUGUUUUCCAGGUGGUUGCUAAGGUGUUGCUAUCUGGUUGCUAGGCAGUUGCUAACGUAUUACACAUGGUUGCUAAGUGGUUGCUAGGCAGUUGCUAAUGUUUUCCAGGUGGUUGCUAAGGUGUAUCUAACUGGUUGCUAGGCAGUAGUAGAUAAAAAGAAAGAGUGUUAAAUGUAGAAGUACAGAAAAAGGGAGAGCCUGAAAUAGAGAAGUAGAGAGAAAAUCAGCGUGAGAAGUAGAGAAAGAACACCCGAGAAUAUGAGAAAAAGAGUGACAAGUAGAGAGAAAUAUUGAGCGAGAGAAAGAGAAUUAGGGAAAAAGAGAGAUCGAGAAAUAAAGAAGUAGAGAAAGAAAGAGGAUGUAGUAGAGAGAUAGAUAGAAAGAGAAAGCAAGACAGAA